rnacentral:tRNA from 1 species
GCGGGUGUGGCGGAAUUGGCAGACGCGCUAGGUUGAGGGCCUAGUGGGGGAAACCCCGUGGAGGUUCAAAUCCUCUCGGCCGCACCA